GACGAACGCUGGCGGCGUGCUUAACACAUGCAAGUCGAGCGGUAAGGCCCUUUCGGGGGUACACGAGCGGCGAACGGGUGAGUAACACGUGGGUGACCUGCCCUCAGCUCUGGGAUAAGCCUGGGAAACCGGGUCUAAUACCGGAUAUGACUCCAUGACGCAUGUUGUGGGGUGGAAAGCCUUGUGCGGCUGAGGAUGGGCCCGCGGCCUAUCAGCUUGUUGGUGGGGUGAUGGCCUACCAAGGCGACGACGGGUAGCCGGCCUGAGAGGGCGACCGGCCACACUGGGACUGAGACGCGGCCCAGACUCCUACGGGAGGCAGCAGUGGGGAAUCUUGCGCAAUGGGCGAAAGCCUGACGCAGCGACGCCGCGUGAGGGAU
rnacentral:rRNA from 1 species